GACGGAAGGUGCAAGCGUUGCUCGGAAUCACUGGGCGUAAAGGGUGCGUAGGCGGCCGUGCAAGUCUGGCGUGAAAGCCCCGGGCUCAGCCCGGGAAGUGCGCUCGAAACUGCGCGGCUCGAGUGCCGGAGGGGAGAGUGGAAUUCCUGGUGUAGCGGUGAAAUGCGUAGAUAUCAGGAGGAACACCAAUGGCGAAGGCAGCUCACUGGGACGGUAUUGACGCUGAGACGCGAAAGCGUGGGGAGCAAACAGG
rnacentral:rRNA from 1 species